rnacentral:rRNA from 1 species
UUAGCGGCGAACGGGUGAGGAACACGUGAAGAAUCUGCCCUCCACUUUGGGAUAACACCGGGAAACCGGUGCUAAUACCGAAUAUUGAAACAUAAGUGGCAUCACUGAGUUUUGAAAGAAUUUCGGUGGAGGAUGACUUCGCGGCCUAUCAGCUAGUUGGUGAGGUAAUGGCUCACCAAGGCAACGACGGGUAGCCGGCCUGAGAGGGCGACCGGCCACACUGGGACUGAGACACGGCCCAGACUCCUACGGGAGGCAGCAGUGGGGAAUAUUGGGCAAUGGAGGAAACUCUGACCCAGCGACGCCGCGUGCGGGAUGAAGGCCUUCGGGUUGUAAACCGCUUUCAGUAGGGAAGAAGCGAAAGUGACGGUACCUACAAAAGAAGCACCGGCUAACUAUGUGCCAGCAGCCGCGGUAAUACAUAGGGUGCAAGCGUUGUCCGGAAUUAUUGGGCGUAAAGAGCUCGUAGGUCGUUUGUUACGUCGGAUGUGAAAACCUGAGGCUCAACCUCAGGCCUGCAUUCGAUACGGGCAAACUAGAGUUUGGUAGGGGAGACUGGAAUUCCUGGUGUAGCGGUGGAAUGCGCAGAUAUCAGGAGGAACACCAAUGGCGAAGGCAGGUCUCUGGGCCAAUACUGACACUGAGGAGCGAAAGUCUGGGGAGCGAACAGGAUUAGAUACCCUGGUAGUCCAGACCGUAAACGGUGGGCACUAGUUGUGGGAACCUUCCACGGUUUCUGCGACGCAGCUAACGCAUUAAGUGCCCCGCCUGGGGAGUACGAUCGCAAGAUUAAAACUCAAAGGAAUUGACGGGGCCCCGCACAAGCAGCGG